rnacentral:lncRNA from 1 species
CAACUUUUGCAUUAUGAAUAGAGUUCAAUAUGCAUUUUCCUCGAAGGUCAUUGAGAUAUAAUACAGAUCAAAGAACUGGCAUACUAUUAAGAAAAAUACUUGCAGAAGGGGGAACUUCAAUAAACAGGGGAGGUUUGUCUUUGAAAAAUAGAAGCCAAAAAGAAGACAUUAAAAUACAACAGGUAAAAUUGAGAUUUCCAAUUUACAUCUGCCUCCGUGAAUGCAUUCCUUUUG